UACAGAGGGUGCGAGCGUUAAUCGGAAUUACUGGGCGUAAAGCGUCCGCAGGUGGCACUUCAAGUCUGUCGUCAAAGACUGGGGCUUAACCCUGGAAAGGCGGUGGAAACUGAAGCGCUAGAGUGUGGUAGGGGUAGAGGGAAUUCCCGGUGUAGCGGUGAAAUGCGUAGAUAUUGGGAAGAACACCUGAGGCGAAGGCGGGUUGCUGGGCUGACACUGACGCUGAGGCGCGAAAGCCAGGGGAGCGAACGGG
rnacentral:rRNA from 1 species